GAUGCCGGGGAGUCAAGGUCCCCGGAAGUGUGGAUGUGGCUAUCCGCCCACCUCUCCCUACCAUUAAUCCAGGAAGCAUCAACUGCCAAAGGCACCUGGAAUAGACAAAUAAAAAAAAUCAGUGAAUACAAGCUAUAGUCAGGAAACCAAUGGGGAGGAAACCAACAAGGGGGGCCUUCCUCUGGGACAUGAGUAGAUGGGGGUGGGUAGAGACCCACAAAGCAACAAUGUUUGGUAUGGAGAUUACCUGAAGGACUGGACAGGGAAAAGCUAUGAAGAAAUGGAGAAAGAACAUGAGGAAGUGAGCGGCAGAGAUUGGAGAAGACUCCCCUCCACGGUCUCCAAAGAACCCUACAAUUCGGAUCAGGAAUGGAGAGGAAGUAGUAACCGCCAUCUUGGAUCCAUCCUUCCUGGCCUCCUCAGUAUCUUCCCCGUUCUCUUUUCUAUUCCAUACCCAACCUACUUUCUAGCUGUGCUGUUACCGUGUCACCUCUGUGUCCCCCAGCCUUCUUUUGAGACAGCUACAUGAUUUCCUGAGUGUUUGCAUGGGAAGUUUGAAGUACAGCUAACUAAAGUAAAUACAAAAGACAGACGGACCAACUGAGAAAGAA
rnacentral:lncRNA from 1 species